CUGCAGAGCUGAUGAUGAUUUAACUCACCAUCUUUCGGCUGAAUAUGUGAUGGACAUUUUAUGAUCUGAUAACUCUG
rnacentral:snoRNA from 12 species